rnacentral:lncRNA from 1 species
UCAAAGACUAAGGGGGAAAGGGUGAGAAAUUAAGUCUAGCAGUACAAUUAUAGAACCUCUGGUGUAUUCUCAUGGGAAAAUUAAUGUUUUAGGUAAAAUGGAGACGACAGUAGUUACGACAAAUACUUGAGAAAAGCCUAUGAAAUUACUGACUUUGGUAGUCCAGCCAAACAUUUGCUUCAGGAAAAGCAUCCAGAAAUAUAAUGAUUUAGGGAUAUCAAGGUAUACUAUAUAAAGCAUUGUUGUAUAUAUUAUUUCCUCUUUUCCCUUGGGAGGUAAUAUCUGAAUUAUUAUCAGACUCCUAAUGAGGAAACACUCUGAGAAGUGAGAAGCCUGCCUUGUGUCAGAGUGGGUAAAUCAGAGAGACAAAGGCGUUAGGGCUUGAACUCAGGCCCUCUGACUUUGCAGGGUUCUAUUGAAGUGGCCACCUUGCCUGAGGCUAUGAGGCUGAAGGAGUGGGCAGAGGAAUACACUGUGGUCAUUCACACCUGAAAUUAUCAUCUUACCAAGGAACCACCUUUCCCGAUUAGGUGACCAAUUCACUAUUUAUCCUUUUACUAUUUCUUAGAAACCCCAAAGCCAAUACAUACGCUAUUCCUUUGUAAAUUAUAGGGUCAAUGAAGUUGAAUUGAUUGUUUCUGGCCCCUCUGAUAAAGGUAAAUUGAGUAAAGUGUAAACGUGAAACAGCAUGGGUUAGGAUACUUUUCAAGGAUUUUGGUGCCAAUUUCUGUUUUCCCCAUGGCUACCCUCAUAUUAUCUUUGCUUUUAGGCAUUUUUUCCUUCAGAUAUAUAGGUUUUAUGCACAAAUGUUAGUGAAACAGACUGUUAACUGUGAGGUACAAUUUUUGUCCAGCAAAUUUUAGUUUCCACAUGAAAUGUUUCAUUGAAUUUGGAUAAUUUGAAAAGAGGAAUACAUUAUUUUAUAAAUUGUUAACUGUUUUAAAUUUGGUUAGGGGAAGACAGUGUGGUGAUUCCUCAAAGACCUAGAACCAGAAAUACCAUUUGACCCAGCAGUCCCAUUACUGUGUCUAUACUCAAAGGAAUAUAAAACAUUCUAUUAUAAAGAUACAUGCACGUGUGUGUUCAUUGCAGCACUAUUCACAAUAGCAAAGACAUGGAAUCAACCCAAAUGCCCAUCAAUGAUAGACUGGAUAAAGAAAACGUGGUACAUAUACACCAGGGAAUACUAUGCAGCCAUAAAAGGAAUGUGAUCAUGUCCUUUGCAGGGAUAUGAAUGGAGGCGGAAGCCAUUAUCCUCAGCAAACUAACACAGAAACAGAAGACCCAACACCACGCAGUCUCACUUACAAGUGUGAACUGAACAAUGAGAACACAUGGACACAGGGAUGGAAACAACACACACUGGGACCUGUUGUGGGGGUGGAGCGGGGAGAGGGAGAGCACCAGGAAAAAUAGCUAAUGGAUGCAGGGCUUAAUACCUAAGUGAUGGGUUGAUAGGUGCAGCAAACCACCAUGGCACACGUUUACCUGUGUAACAAACCUGCACAUCUUAUACAUGUAUCCCAUAACUUAAAAUAAAAUAAAAUAAAAAUAAAAUUCAGAAAUAACCACCCUCCCCCAAGAAAAAAAGAAGGAUGAGAAGAGUUAGAGGUUUGUUUCUGUGCCACCCUGUUCCAGAAAAGAGUUGAAACAGUUUACAAUGAAGUAUUUAAUAACAUAAAACCAAAUGAAGAUAGAAAAUUAUAGAGUAAAAAUGGAAUAUCAAGACAGGAAUAUGAAGAGACAGGUAAGUGAUGAGCAUUGUCACAGAUCUUAUCAGAGGCUGAGCUCCUAUGCAGAAUCCAUGAAUAACUAGACCUAAACCCUAUGCAGCUACCUGAUAGAUGUCAUAUGCUCAAAAAGGUGUUAGCAAGCAGUGGAUAGCCGUUGAAUCUGAGCCUGAAUGUAUGUUGUAUAAAGACGAUGUGUAAGGAGUAAUGUGUUCCCUUAUCCACAUAACACCACCACUGAACAAAGAGCAAAAAGAAAGAGAGGGAGGGAGGGAAAGUAUCUAUCCUACAUGUUGACAGCAAAGUUACAUUGUUUGAAUACCAAUGUAAGGAGCUUUGGCACCACAGUUGCAGACUGCCUUGAGUUCAUACAUUCUCAACCUUAACAACAAUGUAAUUUUUGCAACUAGAGACUUUUUAAAAAUUAGGGCAGACAACUAUAUUCAAAACAGUAGGCUCUGUCACUUCAAGAUCUGCUUUGAGAAAGGCAGUGAUAAUGGAGAGAGUAUUUGCUGAGGUGACUAAAAAAUUGAACACAAACGGUUUUUUCUGUCAACUGAAAUGACCACUAUCAUUUUGAACUUUCAUAAUUUUAGGAACACAUAGUUGGUUUUCAUUAAGCUGAGGAUGGCUUUGACCACCUGGUAAAGACUACAAUGUCACAGAGGUCAAAACCACGACAGACGCUUUAGAUGUACACAUAGUCAUGUAAAUUAUAAUGCUUCGUUGAAGUGAGGAGAAAUCACACUUACAUAGCUUAAAAAUAUCUCACUGGAUUUUGCUCAAAUUUGUAUCAAAUAUUGUACUGAAGCGCUAUUCAAGAUCAGAGCCCCAUGGAUAAGCUCGGGGCUUAUCAAGAAAAAUAUACACAGCUGCAUUGAUUUUCAGAUACACAGAACUCUAGAGAACGGAUGUGAUCAAGCAAACAACCUAACAUUUUCAAGGGGCUAAACCAAGGCCCAGAGUCGGGAGGGGACUUACCCAGACUCACAGGGAGCAGUGCCAAAGCUGGGCCAGACACACAUCCCCCUGGCGCCAGCCAGCUCCCCGACAUAGGACAGAUCAGAGUAAUACUUGAAAAUUUACAAUUCACUAUGUAGGAUUUGUGUUCCUGGAGAAGGAAGUCGGUUGGUGGGGGCAGGGCAGGGGGGCAAGUGCAAUGUACAAGUGAAUGCUGUGAUCCCUAAAUACCCGAGGAGAUGAGGGAAACCACAACUGGUGACAUCAGGGGAGUCAGAGACGGCACUGUGACAGGGCUUGAGUAAGGACGUGGAGCAGAUCAGAGUUCCUGGACAGGACAGUGCGUGGGGUGAGCACCUGGGUAAAUGGAAAAGGAGGAACCAGAGGCCUGGGGGAAUUCAUGAUGGACUAGGUCACUUUGGGCCAUAUGGGCGAAGGGGAUCAAACAAUUAAUUUUAAAAAAGAGACAGAUUGUACGUCUCCUUGAGAUUUAGCACCAGAGAUAUAGAAAGUGACAAGACACAGUUCGAGCCCUCCAGCCUCACCACACAGAGCAGACGACAAACCCUAAACUGAUCACUACAUGCAAUGAGAGAAAUGUCGCACUGGGGAACACAACAGGGCAUGGAAGACCUGUGCAAACUGUUAAGAAAAUGAGACCAAUUCUUCCUGGGAAAGUGUGACAGGUUCUGAAGAGCACCAACCAAAGAUCUGCAGUGGGGGCUCUGAGAGUGGAGUGAGGGGAGGGGCAGUGAGAAGCACCUGCCCCUGCACUGCUAAACAAAUCCCACACCAGAGCCUGCAGGCUCCCCAGCUCCAGCUCUAGGCCUGUGUCCACUUCCUACCAAGGCUGUUUCCUCCCGCCCACCUCUGUCCCCACAUUUUCACUCUGAAAUCAUGAUACCAGUUUGCUGUUUUCAGAAACAUCUGCAAUUCCAAAGGAAAAAAUCUAAAAGAAUAUCUAAUGAUGACGUUUCUCAUUAAAAUACCUUUUUGAUGUUAUUUGCCUUCUAGUGAAAAUCAUACCUAAUCAUUUUUGAAUUAAUUUUCAAAAAUUUUUGGAAUAUCAAAAGAAUAUUACAUUUUCUAAAUUGGUCAGUUGGGUUAAACACAACAAUGGAGACACACACAAAAGAAGCAAUACCUGAGGCUUAUAGUCAACAGUUACCCAAUAUGGACACUCAGAAAUCGUUGCGUUACUUAUUUUUAACCACAUCCUAUCUUCUUUAAAUAGUGGUAUCUGAGAUUUGAGAAGGCAGUGAGUUGCAGUUCUUCGAGAGCACUGAAUUCCUACAGAUAUAUUCAUUUUGUUUGUUUUCUCACUUACCUUUUUUAUUCUUGUUCAUCAAAGCCAUGACAUAACAGGUCCACAGAUCAGGAAAACAGCUCAUUACAUAAAGGGGGAAAUCAGAUUCACACACUACCUCGACUUUAGCCCAAACCCAGAUGGCAGAGUCUCCUCCAGGGUGGGAAAGUAGCCAUAAGCAUCCGUUUCAGUCACUCCACAUGUGUAUUCACACGACCUGCGGGGCGCCCCAGAGGCCAGGCGGCCGCUGGUUCUGGGGACGUUUUUCAGAAGAGCAAACGCACCGGAUGGCAGGUUUUGGAAAUGUUUCCCCUAAAGCAGACCCCAAAACCCAGCAGCGCUGAGCACUCAGGACCGUUUGUAUCUGUGUUAUUGCCCAUGAGAGAAUAGAUGGCAUGCAAAGACAUUAUUAUUAAAGUUGGUAGUGCAAGAACACACAGCAAAUUUAUGUCUUGUAGUCUAGAUAAAAUAUUACAGUCUCUGCUACAAUUUCAGCAGGCUCACUGGGGCCUGUGACCCCAGCAUCCUGGGAGCUCCACGUAGCCCACCUUAGCGCUGGGGUCCAAAGCCCUCAUCCAACUCACACCUCGCACUCCUGCCACUCACAGGUGAGACUGAGCUGCUGGGAACAUGGGGCCGUGCUGACUUUCCUUGUGCCUGCCCUGGCGUGAACACAGGACAUCCUGCACGGAGCAUGGGGAGGGGUGUGGUGGGUGUUCCUUGGCUUCCGGUUUCAUGUCCCCAGUCAUCACACCCUCCUGAGCAGGUACUUCCUCAGUGAGUGGGAUGCUCCAUCUGUAGUGAGAACCAUUGUGAUCCGUGCAGGCUGGGCUGCUUACCGUGUGCAAACUCAGCAAGUGCAGUGAAUGGAAAGCCACUUUAUUUCCAUAGCCACAGGGGGAAGUGGCCAGGUUUACACCUAGAGAAACUGCUUUGAAGGUUGGCUGAGGGCAGGGGUUUAAGAAGGAAAGCUUGAUAUGGGAGGCAUUUCACAUUGUAAUGGUAAGCGAGUGAUGGGGGUGUGACAUCUGUGUCUCUUUUUUCAGUGGCUAUCUCGGGUCACAGUCCUCCUGGAGCGUGGACUGGCAUAACCACAACAAUGACCAGGUUGUGGACGAACGGCUUUAAGGUGAUAUUUGAAAUUUUGCAGCUGGGUCUCCAGGUUUGAUCUGUCUCAAGGUUAACCCCUGUAACUUCUAAGCCCAGCUUCAAAGCACAUUUCCAGCACCCUCCCAGGAACCGAUGUGAUUCAAAGAAGUGAAACAGCCUCUCAGAAAGGCUUACCGGGCUUAGGAUGCAGCCUGCUUGAGUUCGGUUCCUUUUCAAAGUCAGGUGCUUCUCAUCUAUCAACUGGGGGUCCCAAGAGGCAACCUCACCCAGUUAAAAAAGGAUUAAAUGCGCUUUCUAUGCAGACUUGAGGCUUUUCCCAGCAUGCAAUCUGUCAAGGGCCUGAGAUAACAAGAGGGUGGAGCCCUGCAGGAAGGCGGCCCUGGGCACCGGCAGCUGCCAGCAGAAUGGCCAGUCUGCUGCUUGUUUACACAGCAAAUUACAUUUUCCGAUAACAUAUCAUAACAGAUUAAGCCUGAAAAACACAUUCUUUCCAGGCCAGCAAGUGCUUCAGAGGAUUACUCAGCCCACAGGGCUUCUGACCUCCCUGCUCUUAAGGUCAGGGGAGCACAGGUUCCCAUCUGCCGCCUCCAGGUCCCAGUCCGAACCUGGAACGCAGCUGAUCUCAGCAUGGAGCUGCCCUGCGGUCGCCACACCCAAGAGCUGGAGCUCACUGAGGCGAGUUACUUUCUCCUGGGAGACGCAGCCAGCUCUUAUUUUAAAGCACAUAGCAUCCACCUAAAUGAAUGAGCACUUUUUUUUUCUUUCCAAUGAGCACCUUUAAAAAUUUAGUUUGGAAUGACUACAGGGGCUAAAAGCCACUUCUUGGGGCUUGGUUUUUCCAUAGAAGGAAUGCUUGAUCGCUUCAGCAGCUGAACCUGGGGAGCCACUACAUUCCUGCUGGUAAAAAAUAAAUCCAUUCCCCAGGGAGGUACCCUUGGGGUCCAGUUGCCCCAGGACCCAGGAGAGCUGGUCUUUCACGGAGAGGUCAGGAGAAGCAGGGAUAACAUGCUGUUCCAUGGGUCAUGAAUCUUGGUGGCGGAGGCUGCCCACGGGUGGCCCGUGAAAAUGUGGGGUGUCUGUUCCUCAAAGUGAUAGUGUGCCUCAUUCUAUGCCCCUGACUUAACACAGCUUCUGGACCCCACAGCCCGAACCCAUUUCUGCCCCCUCACUACUGGGGCUCUCAUUAUGUCAUCGACUGGGUGCCCCCUGUGGGGCAGAGGCUUGCAGGGAGGCCUGCCCGCCUCCCAGUGCCUGUUCUUGCGGCCUGCACAUGCGUAAAACCCACACUGCAGGAGUCAUUCCUCUGUCCAGGAAGGCUCUGCAGCCUCUUCCUCCCUUCACAAAGUCUGCCAAACUCUCACAUAGGAGAGGAACUCAUGAACCCUGCUCCACUGAGACACCCGCGGCAGAAUCGGGCCAUGUCAGAUUUGGGAUCAUUCAGCAAAUGCUUAUGGAACACUAACCUUGGCCACAUGGGCCCAGGGCUCUCAGACAUGUGGCACACGAGACAGGCAAGGGCCUGGCUUUCAGGAAAAAUUAUAUGAGUGGCAAGAAAGACCACAAAUGUUGACUUGGUGACUAUAUAGACCAGAAAAGCUCAUGGAGCGAUGGGCCUGUGACACACAGUGCAUCCUUCAGGAGCUCCUCCUUCCAGCCCAUUAGAGUCAUGGGGAGGCUGGGAAAAUGGGAAGGUCGGGGUGAGGCAGAGCAAAAAGCAAGGAGACACAGGAGGGAGUGUGCUCGCCCCCCACUCGAAGUUCAGAAAGAAGCCCUGAGAGGCUGCCCUGAGAGCCAGGGAGCGAUGAGGACUGGAAGCUGCAGGGAAGGGUUUGGCUUCUUUUCAUCUUUUCAAUGUGGAUGUGACUGGCCUCGAUCUCCCUCCUUAAGGGCUCAUUUCCUUUGUAGAGAGGAGAGUGAGAGGCCAGUCAGAAGGUGUUGGCCUGGUUCAGUUGAGAGAUGACUUUGGCAGAAGAAUCAACAGGACUGCUUUGAGACUGGAUACUGGGGCUAGGGGAAGGAGAGGGGAAGUGGGGGAGUCAGAUUCCAACGCCUGUAGGAGGAACACCCAUGAACAGAGCUUUCCUAGCUCCCUGGAUGCUUCUGUCAGCAUGGGACAGCCUAGGCCAGAAGCAAACCUGGUUUCAGUGAUGCCUGGAGGAGGAUGUGGGUAACCCCACCUGCACCUUUGCUGCAAAAUUCCCCCAGGGAUUUAGUCCUUAGCUGGAGCAAAGGUCAGACUCUCUGAUCUUCACUGACUGUGGAGAGAGGAGUGGAGUGGGUCAGAGAAUGGGCACAGAACAGACGGGAAGAAGCAUGACAGGGAAGAGGCCGCUGGGCCUAGAGCCAGCAGCAUUGCUCACACAGCUGCAGGAGCCGUUAGCUCUGUGUAUGGUUACUGUGUGACGGACUCCAGAUGCCCUCGGGAAGCCACAAGCCACUGCCCCCAAGGGGUGAAUAGCUGCCCUCUCACCAGGAGCAUUUUGCUGAAAUGGACUCUUGGGCUCUUCCAUAUUUAAAAUCAAAAUAGAUAAAGCGCA